UACAUGUGGGGCAAGCGUUGUUCGGAAUUACUGGGCAUAAAGGGUGCGUAGGCGGUUUGUUAAGUCACUGGUGAAAGUUUUCGGCCCAACCGGAAAAUUGCCUGUGAUACUGGCGAACUCGAGUGCGUGAGGGGUGGGGGGAACGAGCAGUGUAGCGGUGAAAUGCGUAGAUAUUGCUCGGAAGGCCGGAGCCGAAGGGGCCCCACUGGUACGUAACUGACGCUGAGGCACGAAAGCGUGGGGAGCAAAC
rnacentral:rRNA from 1 species